GGGAAGGUGGCUCAGGGGUAGAGUGCUUGCCUUGCAUGCAUGAAGCGCUGAGUUCGAUUCCUCAGCACCCCA
rfam:Dipodomys ordii contig_58794, whole genome shotgun sequence.